rnacentral:misc_RNA from 1 species
CUAGGAAGUCAGUUGCCGAGUCAGUGAGAUUGGCAAUGGUGGAGGAAGAGGGUAAGAUUUACAGAGAAAAAGCUAAGGAGAUGAGAGGAUUGUUUGGGGACAGAGAAAGACAGAAUAGGUACAUAGACAACUUUCUGGGUUACCUCAAGAGCCAUAGGAGUCCAUGAAGAUUGAUAACCUGCUCAAAGUACAAAUGGUGUUCAGAAUAUCAGAAAAGAACAAAGGAGAAGAAGAAGAAGAAGAAGAAAGAAGAA